GUCAGUGCCAUGUGAAUGCCAGGAAGCUGUGCCUGGAUUUCACCGUGAUGGCAGGUCAGAGAAGGGUUCAAUGUGAAAACCACUGCAUGCACUUUCAGCACUGCACUCACCGUAAGAAUUCCCAGUUUGCUGUUUGUGGCUGAUGUGCCCAGAAGGACACAGUUCAAGUUUUUUCACAACCUUGAAAUUCUGAAAGGCCUGAGAUGUUUGGCUGAAGAUUUUCAAACAAGUCAUCCCCGAGGCGCACACCUGGUUUCAGCCAAACAGUUGAAGCUUGGCAAACUCUUUAACCAACUGAAAAUGUAGUCUUCCAAUAGAAGGCAUCUGGCAAUCAUUCCACCUGGCAGUUAUGCCAGCCCCACCUCUCAUUUUUUGGAUCAUUUAUUAAAGCAAUGAAGAAUUUUAAGGGAGUAUUUUUUUCAUUAGAAUUUAAUAAUAUAUAACCAUGCUGCUUCCUCAUACUCCUUUGAGCUACAAACCGUAGAGACAGAAUAUCAAACCAGCAUGUGGAGUUUGGAAUCACUAGCAAU